rnacentral:rRNA from 1 species
CCUACGGGGGGCUGCAGUGGGGAAUAUUGGACAAUGGGGGCAACCCUGAUCCAGCCAUGCCGCGUGUGUGAAGAAGGCCCUCGGGUUGUAAAGCACUUUCAGUGAGGAAGAACGCCUGGUGGUUAAUACCCAUCAGGAAAGACAUCACUCACAGAAGAAGCACCGGCUAACUCCGUGCCAGCAGCCGCGGUAAUACGGAGGGUGCGAGCGUUAAUCGGAAUUACUGGGCGUAAAGCGCGCGUAGGUGGCUUGAUAAGCCGGUUGUGAAAGCCCCGGGCUCAACCUGGGAACGGCAUCCGGAACUGUCAAGCUAGAGGGCAGGAGAGGAAGGUAGAAUUCCCGGUGUAGCGGUGAAAUGCGUAGAGAUCGGGAGGAAUACCAGUGGCGAAGGCGGCCUUCUGGACUGACACUGACACUGAGGUGCGAAAGCGUGGGUAGCAAACAGGAUUAGAUACCCUAGUAGUC